GUGGGGAAUAUUGGACAAUGGGCGAAAGCCUGAUCCAGCCAUGCCGCGUGUGUGAAGAAGGUCUUCGGAUUGUAAAGCACUUUAAGUUGGGAGGAAGGGUAGUAACCUAAUACGUUGCUACUUUGACGUUACCGACAGAAUAAGCACCGGCUAACUUCGUGCCAGCAGCCGCGGUAAUACGAAGGGUGCAAGCGUUAAUCGGAAUUACUGGGCGUAAAGCGCGCGUAGGUGGUUCAGUAAGUUGGAAGUGAAAUCCCCGGGCUCAACCUGGGAACUGCUUUCAAAACUGCUGAGCUAGAGUACGGUAGAUGGUGGUGGAAUUUCCUGUGUAGCGGUGAAAUGCGUAGAUAUAGGAAGGAACACCAGUGGCGAAGGCGACCACCUGGACUGAUACUGACACUGAGGUGCGAAAGCGUGGGGAGCAAACAGGAUUAGAAACCCUGGUAGUCC
rnacentral:rRNA from 1 species